AGUUUGAUCCUGGCUACAGAACGAACGCUGGCGGCAUGCCUAACACAUGCAAGUCGAACGGGAUCCUAGCUUGCUAGGUGAGAGUGGCGGACGGGUGAGUAACACGUGGGAAUCUGCCUUUUGGUUCGGGAUAACCGCGGGAAACUGCGGCUAAUACCGAAUGCCCUCCGGGGGAAAGAUUUAUCGCUAAAAGAUUAGCCCAAGCCAGAUUAUGGUAGUUGGUGAGGUAAUGGCUCACCAAGCCUACGAUCUGUAGCUGGUCUGAGAGGACGACCAGCCACACUGGAACUGAGACACGGUCCAGACUCCUACGGGAGGCAGCAGUGGGGAAUAUUGGACAAUGGGCGAAAGCCUGAUCCAGCCAUGCCGCGUGAGUGAUGAAGGCCUUAGGGUUGUAAAGCUCUUUUGUCAGGGAAGAUGAUGACGGUACCUGAAGAAUAAGCACCGGCUAACUUCGUG
rnacentral:rRNA from 1 species